CCUACGGGAGGCAGCAGUGAGGAAUAUUGGUCAAUGGACGAAAGUCUGAACCAGCCAAGUCGCGUGAAGGAUGACUGCCCUAUGGGUUGUAAACUUCUUUUAUAUGGGAAUAACAUGUUCCAGUUGUGGGGUUUUGUAUGUACCAUAUGAAUAAGGAUCGGCUAACUCCGUGCCAGCAGCCGCGGUAAUACGGAGGAUCCGAGCGUUAUCCGGAUUUAUUGGGUUUAAAGGGAGCGUAGGUGGAUUGGUAAGUCAGUUGUGAAAGUUUGGGGCUCAACCGUAAAAUUGCAGUUGAAACUGGCAGUCUUGAGUACAGUAGAGGUGGGCGGAAUUCGUGGUGUAGCGGUGAAAUGCUUAGAUAUCACGAAGAACUCCGAUUGCGAAGGCAGCUCACUGGACUGCAACUGACACUGAGGCUCGAAAGUGUGGGUAUCAAACAGGAUUAGAUACCCGAGUAGUC
rnacentral:rRNA from 1 species